UACGGAGGGGACUAGCGUUGUUCGGAAUUACUGGGCGUAAAGCGCACGUAGGCGGAUUUGUAAGUCAGGGGUGAAAUCCCGGGGUUCAACCUCGGAACUGCCUUUGAUACUGCAAAUCUCGAGUCCGGAAGAGGAGAGUGGAAUUCCUGGUGUAGCGGUGAAAUGCGCAGAUAUCAGGAGGAACACCCGUGGCGAAAGCGGCUCUCUGGGACGGUACUGACGCUGAGACGCGAAAGCGUGGGGAGCAAACAGG
rnacentral:rRNA from 1 species